GGGACGUACGUGGAAGUCAUGAACUGAUAGGAAAUUCCUUGAUUAAGCAAUACCACCUAGGGAUAGGGGUAGGACGAUCAAUUGUAUUUUGCUUCUGUAUAUAAUGCAUUGCUAAUUACUAGGGGAGACUAGGGAUAGUAAGCCAGUAACUAGUAAUAGGCUCUUUUCGCCAAGGGAUCGGGUUUAGGGUAGACUAAGAAAGUUUGCAUGACAAUUAGAUAAUAAAGCAAAUUUAAUAAGAAGAGUAGAUAUAAGAAGGUGGAUAAGAUGAAAUUG
rnacentral:lncRNA from 1 species